rnacentral:rRNA from 2 species
CCAGCCGUAAACGAUGGAUACUAGGUGUGGGGGGAUCGACCCCCUCCGUGCCGCAGUUAACGCAAUAAGUAUCCCACCUGGGGAGUACGGCCGCAAGGCUGAAACUCAAAGGAAUUGACGGGGGCCCGCACAAGCGGUGGAGCAUGUGGUUUAAUUCGAUGCAACGCGAAGAACCUUACCAGGGCUUGACAUCCCCUGCUACCUAUCGAAAGAUGGGGUUCUCUUCGGAGACAGGGAGACAGGUGG